GGGAGCAGAGCGCGGGGUGCAGUGGCGCGGGGCCGCUCGGAGCUGCCGGAGUGGUGGCACCGCGUUUGGGCCACUGCAGAAAAUUACACGGCAGGCAGAAUGCUGGGUCCAGCCAUCCGGAGCGCUUGAAGAAACGAGACGCUAGGGACGAUGAGUCCACCGCCUCCCCAGGCAGCCCAUUCCAGUGCCACUCUUGGAGACAGAAUUUUUCCUAACAUCAACCUGAACCCCCCUGGUGUAACUUGAGGCCGUUCCUUCCAGUCCUGUCACUAUUAUGAAGGAGCAGAGGAUGAACCCCCUCCUCAACCCCCACCACAACCUCCCUUCAGGUAGCUGUAGAGAACAAUGAGGUCUUCCCUGAACCUGCUCUUUUCCAGGCUGAACAA